UAGAGAACUCAUGAAGUGGAUUGGGUGUC
rnacentral:piRNA from 1 species